AUUGAACGCUGGCGGCAUGCCUUACACAUGCAAGUCGAACGGCAGCACGGGUGCUUGCCCCUGGUGGCGAGUGGCGAACGGGUGAGUAAUACAUCGGAACAUGUCCUGUAGUGGGGGAUAGCCCGGCGAAAGCCGGAUUAAUACCGCAUACGAUCUACGGAUGAAAGCGGGGUACCUUCGGGCCUCGCGCUAUAGGGUUGGCCGAUGGCUGAUUAGCUAGUUGGUGGGGUAAAGGCCUACCAAGGCGACGAUCAGUAGCUGGUCUGAGAGGACGACCAGCCACACUGGGACUGAGACACGGCCCAGACUCCUACGGGAGGCAGCAGUGGGGAAUUUUGGACAAUGGGCGAAAGCCUGAUCCAGCAAUGCCGCGUGUGUGAAGAAGGCCUUCGGGUUGUAAAGCACUUUUGUCCGGAAAGAAAUCCUUGGCCCUAAUACGGUCGGGGGAUGACGGUACCGGAAGAAUAAGCACCGGCUAACUACGUG
rnacentral:rRNA from 1 species